CCAAUAGCGUAUAUUUAAGUUGCUGCAGUUAAAAAGCUCGUAGUUGGAUUUCGGGUGGGAAUGGCCGGUCCGCCGUUUCGGUGUGCACUUGCUACGCCCACCUUGCUGCCGGGGACGUGCUCUUGAGUUCACGCUCGGGACACGGAGUCGGCGAGGUUACUUUGAGUAAAUUAGAGUGUUCAAAGCAGGCCUACGCUCUGAAUACAUUAGCAUGGAAUAACACGAUAGGACUCUGGCCUAUCUUGUUGGUCUGUAGGACCGGAGUAAUGAUUAAGAGGGACAGUCGGGGGCAUUCGUAUUUCAUUGUCAGAGGUGAAAUUCUUGGAUUUAUGAAAGACGAACUACUGCGAAAGCAUUUGCCAAGGAUGUUUUCAUUAA
rnacentral:rRNA from 1 species